CCCUUAGAUGUUCGGGGCCGCACGCGCGCUACACUGAAGGAAUCAGCACGUCUUUCUCCUUGUCCGAAAGGACUGGGUAACCCGCUGAGCCUCCUUCGUGCUAGGGAUUGGGGCUUGUAAUUCUUCCCCAUGAACGAGGAAUUCCCAGUAAGCGCGAGUCAUAAGCUCGCGUUGAUUACGUCCCUGCCCUUUGUACACACCGCCCGUCGCUACUACCGAUUGGAUGGUUUAGUGAGAUCCUCGGAUUGGUCCCGGAGCGGCCUCUGGUCGUGCCGGAGUGCCGAAAAGAAUGUCGAACUUGAUCAUCUAGAGGAAGUAAAAGUCGUAACA
rnacentral:rRNA from 1 species